CAGUGUGAUGGAUAUCUGCAGAAUUCGCCCUUAGAGUUUGAUCCUGGCUCAGAACGAACGCUGGCGGCGCGCCUAAUACAUGCAAGUCGAGCGAGAAGACGUAGCAAUACGUUUGUAAAGCGGCGAACGGGUGAGGAAUACAUGGGUAACCUACCCUCGAGUGGGGAAUAACUAACCGAAAGGUUAGCUAAUACCGCAUACGACUCCUGGUCUGCGGAUCGGGAGAGAAAGCGAUACCGCGGGUAUCGCGCUCCUGGAUGGGCUCAUGUCCUAUCAGCUAGUUGGUGAGGUAAUGGCUCACCAAGGCUUCGACGGGUAGCUGGUCUGAGAGGACGAUCAGCCACACUGGCACUGCGACACGGGCCAGACUCCUACGGGAGGCAGCAGUAAGGAAUAUUGCGCAAUGGGCGAAAGCCUGACGCAGCGACGCCGCGUGGGGGAUGAAGGUCUUCGGAUUGUAAACCCCUUUCGGCAGGGAAGAUGGAGCGGGUAACCGCUCGGACGGUACCUGCAGAAGCAGCCACGGCUAACUUCGUGCCAGCAGCCGCGGUAAUACGAAGGUGGCAAGCGUUGUUCGGAUUUACUGGGCGUACAGGGAGCG
rnacentral:rRNA from 1 species